UCGUAGUAUAAUAAUAAGAGAUAUAAUUAAAUGUUCAGUAAAUGUCUGAAUAAAAAGGAAGUGAGAAAUGUCUGAUUAUAUAGUGGGUGAGUUCAUAUGGAUGAUUAUUUAAGAAAUAGAAAACGAUCGAGUCGCGUGCGUUCAUGAUGUGAUAAUGCACGAGGGGAAUGUUCAGUGUGAGAAUACGAGAGAAGCGUGUAAAACACGAGAGGUAGCAUUAUCGCACAAUAAACACACGAGACGAGUUCUUUAUUUAUUUUACAAUAUAAGUAGAAGAUAUUACAUAGUAAACAAUUUUACUCAAAAGAUCGACAUUAAAAUUCUCCUAACAUGUACUCAGUGACGUCACGUGCAUGCUUUUUCUGGCGCUUGAAAUUUAGCUAAAGUUGCCGAAAAACUGUUUAAAAUACUGGAAAUAAUGUCAGUUAAAUUUUGUUCAAACUUCUGUAAGAAGUGCUUGUUAUCGUUUUCGAUUUAAAACUAGUCAGUUUUUGGGCUUGAACUUGAAUGUGCUUUAGCUGUUCAAUUUUCCAUUGCGUAAUAUAUUCUGAAUGCGUAAUGAGAUAACUUUUGUGGUCCCACAGAUCGGAAAUUUAAAUAAAA